ensembl:snRNA U6 U6 spliceosomal RNA
AUGCUCACUUCGUCAGCACAUAUACUAAAAUUGGAACAAUACAGAGAUUAGCCCGGCCCCUGUGCAAAGAUGACAUGCAAAUUCGUGAAGUGUUUCAGAUUUUA